AUGUGCGGCAAUAACAUGUCUGCCCCACUGGCCGCCAUCGUGCCCACUGCCCGAAAGUCCACUGCUGCGGUGAUUUUCCUUCAUGGAUUGGGUGAUACCUGGCACAGAUGGACAGAAGCCUUUGCAGGUAUCAGACUUUCCCAUAUCAAAUAUAUCUCCCCCCAUGCACCUGUUAUGCCUGUUACAUUAAAUAUGAACAUGGCUCUGCCUUCUUAGUUUGAUAUUGUUGGACUUUCACCAGAGUCACAGGAGGAUGAAGCUAGAAUUAAACUGGCAGCAGAAAACAUAAAAGCUUUGAUUGAUCAAGAGGUGAAGAAUAGCAUUCCUUCUAACAGAAUUAUUUUGGGAGGAUUUUCUCAGGGAAGAGCUUUAUCUUUAUAUACCGCUAUCACCACAUACCAGACACUGGCGGGUGUCACUGCACUCAAUUUCUGGCUUCUUCUUCAAGCUUCAUUUCCAAAGGGUCCUAUCAGUGGCACUAAUAAAGAUAUUUCUAUACUUCAAUGCCAUGGAGAUUGAGGCCCUUUAGUUCCCCUGAUGUUUGGUUCUCUUACUGUUGAAAAACUAAAAACAUUGGUUGAUCCAGUCAAUGUUAAAACUUAUGAAGGCAUGAUGCACAGUUCAUGUCAACAGGAAAUGAUAGAUAUCAAGCAAUUCAUUGAUAAACUCCAGCCUCUAUUUGAUUGACAUCAUGAAGAGGCCUUGUGUAGAAGAACACCAGCAUCAUUAUAGUAGAGUAUAAACCUUCUCCCGUGCCUGGUCUUCAAACUUCUAAUGUCUGCGGUGUUAAAAUGUUUUGCAAAUCAUGCCAAUGACAUAGACUGGAUAAUGUCUCCUCAUGGUAAAUUUAUGAUCUUUUAGGUUUCUAUACUUGUAUUCUUAUAAUAAGAUCCAGAGCAUACUAGUAUUAAAAUAGGUGAAGCUGCUAGCUUCUUUUUAGUGUAAUUCAGCAAAAUAAUAAAAUACUACAACCACAUUUUUUUCUUAAAUCAUUUGAAAAUUACUAGUAUGCUUAAUGAAAAUUUGUUCUGGUAUAAAUGAGAAGUUAAGAUAUAAAUGAUUUAUGCACGCUGUGACUUAGUUCAUGGAUUUAUUCCAAAAUUGCUUAGUCACUAUGCAGUGUCUGUAUUUUUAUAUAUGUAUUGAUAUGUGCAUAAUGAUUGCAAUAUGUAAUAAAAAUGAGGUGAUAUUACAUUAUUCCUAUUAGGAAUAAUUAUGUUUAGUGUCAAUUAAAAGUAAUAUUGCUCUCUUCAAUUAAUUGCCCUUUGAUAUUGGGACCAGGCUUUUCUUUUCCCUGAUAUCACUUCUACUUAAUAUUCUUAUCUCUCAAGAAACAUUUUUAAAAAGUAUUUCUUUCUUUAUUGUCCUUCAUAGCAGACCAAAUAUUGCCUC